rnacentral:rRNA from 1 species
UUGUGGUCAAGCUACUAAGAGCAUGUGGGGGAUGUCUCGGCGCUGGAAGACCAUGAAGGGCGUGGAAGGCUGCGAUAAGUCCGGGGGAGCCGUCAAACAGGCGUUGAUCCCGGAAUUCCCGAGUCAACCCAGGGAACUGAAACAUCUAAGUACCUGGAGGAAUAGAAAGAAACCUCGAUUCCCUUAGUAGCGGCGAGCGAACGGGGAACAGCCUAAACCGUCGGCUUCGGCCGGCGGGGUUGCGGGGCGGUCAAUAUGCAUCAGGCGUGCUAGGAGAAGCCGUUGGAAAGCGGCGCGAUACAGGGUGACAGUCCCGUAUCCGGCAGCAUGGCCUGGGCUAGACCUGUCCCCAAGUAGGUCCAGUCACGUGGAACCUGGACUGAAUCCGGGAGGCCCAUCUCCCAAGGCUAAAUACUCUCCAGCGACCGAUAGUUGACAAGUAGCGCGAGCGAAAGAUGGGAAGAAC